AUUAGAUUCUUCCCUCUUGUUUGCUCCCCUGAUUAUACCUCAAAGCUGCUAAUUGUGACAGGCAGUGGCUUCCUUAGGCUGAUGAGAGCGCUGGCUAAUGACAUCCUUAAGCCACUCUGCCAGCCUGGGGGCACGCACCUAUCUGUUUGUCCUUUCCAAUCAGACUUAAACCAGAAGGGCCAACGGGUCAAGGGGAAUGACUGUAACAGUGAAAACUGGAUCUCUUUCCUCUCCCUGCUUUCCUAAUGUCCUGGGUGCUGGCCCGGGGCUUGGCUUAUUAUAGACACAUAAAAUAGGCUGAAAUCCAGGUGGAGGGAGUUAUUGGUUGACAUCACUGAGGGGAAACUGGGCUCGGAUGAGGCAGGGCCCACCUGCUGCUGAAACCCAGAUUUACAGAAAGAAAGUUGCCCAGCAGGCCCUGGAUUUGGUUGCCUUCCUUUGCUAUUGUCACGGAUUGUAAACAGAUCCGUGGGUUGCUGGAGGCAGAUUGUCACAGAAUUCUAGAUGGAGUGUCAUGAAAAGGCAGAUAGAUUGUUGUGGAAUCAUGGAUUGAUUGUUGUACCUCUGAGGACAGAUUGUUGGAGAAAUGUAGAGGGAUUGUCAGGGAAUUGUAGAGGGACGGUUAGCAGAGAUGGAGGUGGAUUGUCGUGGUACUGUGGACAGAUUGUUGUGAGAACGUCCCCAUGCUAUGGGCUCAGGGGGUCAAGCACAGAGAGUCUAAUGAGGCACAUACACUAACCUUUGAGAAGAGAAGAAUCACUGAAGAGAGAGAGGGUACAGGUGGGAAUGAGAGAGAGAGCUGCUUCCCACGAGCAGACUCUUGCAAUGUAUCUUCCAAGCCCAAGAAAGUCCCGUUUUAUUGCCUCUAAAAAGUGAGAGAAGAAAGUUUGACGUUGCCUUAGGAACUGAGAGGAAACUUAGGGCUUCAAACAGCUACACAUAGGCUCUAAUAUAGGAUCAGAGAAUGCUGGAGCUGGAAGAGACCUUGGAGAGACCAUCUGUCUAGGCCAGCCUCAGAAAGGUAAAAUGACUUGUCCAAGGUCUUAAAGGUAAUAAGUAGCAGAGCUAGGAUACAGGUCUGGUCCUCAUCUCUAAUUACAGUGAUCCCUCCACUUCCCCACCCUACCCUCAAUGCUUCCAAGAAUUAAAGUGAUUUUGAGGGAUACGGCCACGAUAUUAUUCUUCCCCGGUCCAACUAAUUUGCACCCUAUCUAUUUUUCUUUCACCCGAGGGCCACAUGCUUUGAAAAGGGGGAAGCCAGAAAGGCUUCUUUUCCUCCUUCCUUUCUCCUCUUCCUCCCCAGAUUUCCCCAAUGAGUAUUUCAUAAUACUCAUAAUUUCAUUUUAGAAAUACUUCCUUUAGUUUAUUUUAAUUUCUUUAUAUUUUUCAAUAAUAAAUAGUUUUACAUUGAUUGUUCUUUCCCUCUA
rnacentral:lncRNA from 1 species